CCGGAUUUAUUGGGUUUAAAGGGAGCGUAGAUGGAUGUUUAAGUCAGUUGUGAAAGUUUGCGGCUCAACCGUAAAAUUGCAGUUGAUACUGGAUAUCUUGAGUGCAGUUGAGGCAGGCGGAAUUCGUGGUGUAGCGGUGAAAUGCUUAGAUAUCACGAAGAACUCCGAUUGCGAAGGCAGCCUGCUAAGCUGCAACUGACAUUGAGGCUCGAAAGUGUGGGUAUCAAACAGGAUUAGAUACCCUGGUAGUCCACACGGUAAACGAUGAAUACUCGCUGUUUGCGAUAUACUGCAAGCGGCCAAGCGAAAGCGUUAAGUAUUCCACCUGGGGAGUACGCCGGCAACGGUGAAACUCAAAGGAAUUGACGGGGGCCCGCACAAGCGGAGGAACAUGUGGUUUAAUUCGAUGAUACGCGAGGAACCUUACCCGGGCUUAAAUUGCAGAUGAAUUACGGUGAAAGCCGUAAGCCGCAAGGCAUCUGUGAAGGUGCUGCAUGGUUGUCGUCAGCUCGUGCCGUGAGGUGUCGGCUUAAGUGCCAUAACGAGCGCAACCCUUGUUGUCAGUUACUAACAGGAUUUGCUGAGGACUCUGACAAGACUGCCAUCGUAAGAUGUGAGGAAGGUGGGGAUGACGUCAAAUCAGCACGGCCCUUACGUCCGGGGCUACACACGUGUUACAAUGGGGGGUACAGAGGGCCGCUACCACGCGAGUGGAUGCCAAUCCCAAAAACCUCUCUCAGUUCGGACUGGAGUCUGCAACCCGACUCCACGAAGCUGGAUUCGCUAGUAAUCGCGCAUCAGCCACGGCGCGGUGAAUACGUUCCCGGGCCUUGUACACACCGCCCGUCAAGCCAUGGGAGCCGGGGGUACCUGAAGUGCGUAACCGCGAGGAGCGCCCUAGGGUAAAACUGGUGACUGGGGCUAAGUCGUAACAAGGUAGCCGUACCGGAAGGUGCGGCUG
rnacentral:rRNA from 1 species